AAACCAACAGGGAUUGCCUUAGUAACGGCGAGUGAACAGGCAAGAGCUCAGAUUUGAAAGCCUUUUUGGCAUUGUAUUCUGAAGUAUUUAUCCUGAGUAAUGAUGUCUAAGUCUUCUGGAAAGGAGCGCCAUGGAGGGUGAUAGCCCCGUGUGACAUCCCACUCAUUGUAGGAUUUAUACGUGGAGUCGAGUUGUUUGGGAAUGCAGCUCAAACGGGUGGUAUGCUCCAUCUAAAGCUAAAUAUCUGUGAGAGACCGAUAGCGAACAAGUACUGUGAAGGAAAGAUGAAAAGAACUUUGAAAAGAGAGUGAAAAAGUACGUGAAAUUGUUGAAAUGGAAGGGUAGGCCGCUAACCAUGUAGAACCGUGUUUGGGGGGAAGAUAAAAGCUGAAGAAUGUGGCUCCUCGGAGUGUUAUAGCUUCAGUCAAUAUUCCCAUCCGAGCGCGAGGAUCUCAGGUUCUACUAAAUGGUGGUCUACCAC
rnacentral:rRNA from 1 species